rnacentral:rRNA from 1 species
AGAGUUUGAUUCUGGCUCAGGAUGAACGCUGGCGGCGUGCCUAACACAUGCAAGUCGAGCGAGACGGUUGACAUUGAUCCUUCGGGUGAUUUGUCAACUAGACAGCGGCGGACGGGUGAGUAACGCGUGGGUAACCUGCCUUGUACUGGGGGAUAACGUUUUGAAAAGAACGCUAAUACCGCAUAAGCGCACAGCUUCGCAUGAAGCAGUGUGAAAAACUCCGGUGGUACAAGAUGGACCCGCGUCAGAUUAGCUAGUUGGUGAGAUAACAGCUCACCAAGGCAACGAUCUGUAGCCGACCUGAGAGGGUGAUCGGCCACAUUGGGACUGAGACACGGCCCAAACUCCUACGGGAGGCAGCAGUGGGAAUAUUGCACAAUGGGGGAAACCCUGAUGCAGCGACGCCGCGUGAAGGAUGAAGGAUUUCGGUUCGUAAACUUCUAUCAGCAGGGAAGAUAGUGACUGUACCUGACUAAGAAGCCCCGGCUAACUACGUGCCAGCAGCCGCGGUAAUACGUAGGGGGCAAGCGUUAUCCGGAAUUACUGGGUGUAAAGGGUGCGUAGGUGGUUGCUUAAGUCAGAUGUGAAAGCCCGAAGCUCAACUUCGGGACUGCAUUUGAAACUGGGCAACUAGAAUACAGGAGAGGUAAGUGGAAUUCCUAGUGUAGCGGUGAAAUGCGUAGAUAUUAGGAGGAACACCAGUGGCGAAGGCGACUUACUGGACUGUUAUUGACACUGAGGCACGAAAGCGUGGGGAGCGAACAGGAUUAGAUACCCAGGUAGUCCACGCCGUAAACGAUGAAUACUAGGUGUCGGGGGUCGAACCUCGGUGCCGCAGCUAACGCAUUAAGUAUUCCACCUGGGGAGUACGACCGCAAGGUUGAAACUCAAAGAAAUUGACGGGGGCCCGCACAAGCGGUGGAGCAUGUGGUUUAAUUCGAAGCAACGCGAAGAACCUUACCAAGUCUUGACAUCCCGAUGACCGCCAUCUAACUUUGGCUUUUCUUCGGAACAUCGGUGACAGGUGGUGCAUGGUUGUCGUCAGCUCGUGUCGUGAGAUGUUGGGUUAAGUCCCGCAACGAGCGCAACCCUUAUUUUUAGUAGCCAGCACGUUAAGGUGGGGACUCUAGAGAGACUGCCGGGGACAACUCGGAGGAAGGUGGGGAUGACGUCAAAUCAUCAUGCCCCUUAUGAUUUGGGCUACACACGUGCUACAAUGGUGGUUACAAAGGGAAGCGAAGCCGUGAGGUGGAGCAAACCCCAAAAAAGCCAUCCCAGUUCGGAUUGUAGUCUGCAACUCGACUACAUGAAGUUGGAAUCGCUAGUAAUCGCGAAUCAGAAUGUCGCGGUGAAUACGUUCCCGGGCCUUGUACACACCGC